CGGGCUCGUAAGUCAGUGGUGAAAGCCUGCAGCUUAACUGUAGAACUGCCGUUGAUACUGCGAGUCUUGAGUAAAUUUGAAGUGGCUGGAAUAAGUAGUGUAGCGGUGAAAUGCAUAGAUAUUACUUAGAACACCAAUUGCGAAGGCAGGUCACUAAGAUUUAACUGACGCUGAUGGACGAAAGCGUGGGGAGCGAACAGGAUUAGAUACCCUGGUAGUCCACGCUGUAAACGAUGCUAACUCGUUUUUGGGCUUUCGGGCUCAGAGACCAAGCGAAAGUGAUAAGUUAGCCACCUGGGGAGUACGUUCGCAAGAAUGAAACUCAAAGGAAUUGACGGGGGCCCGCACAAGCGGUGGAUUAUGUGGUUUAAUUCGAUGAUACGCGAGGAACCUUACCAAGACUUAAAUGGGAAAUGACAGAUUUAGAAAUAGAUCCUUCUUCGGACAUUUUUCAAGGUGCUGCAUGGUUGUCGUCAGCUCGUGCCGUGAGGUGUUAGGUUAAGUCCUGCAACGAGCGCAACCCCUGUCACUAGUUGCUAACAUUCAGUUGAGGACUCUAGUGAGACUGCCUACGCAAGUAGAGAGGAAGGUGGGGAUGACGUCAAAUCAUCACGGCCCUUACGUCUUGGGCCACACACGUAAUACAAUGGCCGGUACAGAGGGCAGCUACACAGCGAUGUGAUGCAAAUCUCGAAAGCCGGUCUCAGUUCGGAUUGGAGUCUGCAACUCGACUCUAUGAAGCUGGAA
rnacentral:rRNA from 1 species